ACCCAAUCGUAGUUCGGAUUGAGGGUUGUAACUCACCCUCAUGAAGCUGGAUUCCGUAGUAAUCGCUUGUCAACAUCAAGCGGUGAAUAUGCCCCUGCUCCUUGCACACACCGCCCGUCAAGCCACCCGAGUAGGGUCUCAGUAAGGAUAUCUCAUCUUGGGGUUUUCGAACUGAGAUUCUGCAAGGAGGGCUAAGUCGUAACAAGGUAUCUGUAGGGGAACCUGCAGAUGGAUCACCUCCU
rnacentral:rRNA from 1 species